AAAAAUAAAGGACGCGUCUAGCUGGCAAUCGAGUGCCCCGUAGGGAUUCCUGGCAACCUGCCCUAUUAGGAAAGUUUUGGUCCCCAUGCAAAAGUGGAAAAGUUAUAGCUGCGAUCAUGCCCUGUGCGUUCCACCUGUGGUUCCAUUCGGGUUCUGCUACCCCACCCGUGGUUCCAUCUGCUGUAACUCCUUCCUGCAAUAGCAUGCGACAAACAAGUUAGAAAUGCGUCAGGUGCAUUUAAUUUCAUGCCAAAAUAAAUUCAAAAAGCUGCAACUUUUAAACCGAGCGUCGAAAUUAAUUUUCGUUUUCACCAUUUGGUUUCUCGUAGCAAUAUCUUCAAAACAAGGUCUCAUAUGGGUAUGUUUUGAUGAACUUUUUUUUCAAGCAACUUUGCAGCCAUAUGGGGCAACUUCGGUGCCACAGAAAGCAACUCUGCAGUAGAUUGCCUAUCGCGAUUACAUAUUUAUCCCAUUUCUUCGAAGUUGGCUAUCGGUUCUAUAGGAAGCAACUCAAGUGCUAUAUGGGACAACUUUGAUGCUACAUGAAAAAACUUAGAAGUAGAUUGACUAUCACGAUUACAUAUCUACCCCCCAAAGUACUCCUAAAUUGGCUGCCACAACUAGAAGAAUCAACUUUAGCGUUAUAUGGUGCAACUUUUCUAUCGCCUAAUAUCACCUAUGCUUCCCUCUAAAAGUUGGAGACCAUGACUGCCAAGUUGCCUAACGUCAUUUCUCAAGUUGCAAAAUAUCAUCUCUAAAGUUGGCUAACAUGACUAGAAAGUAUCAUAACAUUAUCCUAACUUGCCUCGGAGUACUUUCUAGUACUAUAAGUAACUUAGCUUUAGAGGUAGAAAAAACUUAGAAACAAUGUUGGGCAAGUUUCAUAGUGUGGCAGGCAACUAAUUAGUGAUGGCACAGAACUAAGUAUCAUUGGUACAGGCAGCUAGUUAGCAAUGUCAAGCAACUUAUCGGUCAUAAAAUAGGUGACUAAAAAUCACAAUGGGAGACUACUAAGGAUCAACACUAGGUACUUUGUACUAUUGUAGACAAAGUUAGACAAAUUCAUUAGCACACACUAUGUAAUGAACUUGCUUAUGUGUACCAUUAAAGUUGCCUCCCUUAGCAAGAAAGUUGCUUUCAAAGUUUCGUAAAGUUGCCACACCCAGGCAGAUUCACCUCUUCCCCCAAACAACAAAAAUGGUGUGAAGUUGCCAAUCCCCCAACAACGUACCACUUGUGGUAGACAACUAAUGGUUUUCAUUUAGAGAACUUUGCUUCUAUCCACCUAGACAACAAAACUGGUGUGAAGUUUGUUGCCAAACAAUAGGUCUUUUUAUCCUAGAUAACUAGUGGGCUUUUUAGCGAAAGAUUUUUAUUUAGGCAACUUUGCCUUUGACCGUGACAUCAGACUAGAGGCGAUGGGGUGGAAGCCGAGGAGCAAGAAGUUGUUGAAGAUGACAACGUGGACGGGUCUUGUGCCAGACAACGAACGGGUGUUGAUUAUGUUACAACCAAAAUGGUUUGCUUGUUUGGUGAACCAAAAUGAAAAGUUGUUUCAGUGUAUCAAAUUGAUGAAAAAAAAUCUAUGAAACUUUGCUGAUUUAGUAACUUCCAAUUAUAAAUCAAUUUGCCUCUAAAAUGUAUCUCUGGGCAACUCACGCCAGCCUCUCUAGAAACUAACUUCUAUGGUUUGGGCAAGUUUUGGGCGAAAUAAACCAAGUACUCUCGGGAGAGGAUCUUUGGGCAACUCACUUCAGUAUCUCUAGCAACUAACAAUCAUGCAUUGGGCAAGUUUUGGACACUUUCUGCUCAAAUUGUCGACGAUUAUAGCCCCCGCACCGCCACACUGCAAACCACCCCUGCAUUCAAAAAACAUCGAUUCACCCAAAAAAUCUAAGACCCCACGCACCCCUCUUCAACCUCCCUAUCCCUACCUCUAUCGCACAGAAUUGUAGAUGUGGGUGAAAACACAGACUUUGGGGGUCAAUUUCGUGAUACUUGCCAACGAUUUUCGGCCCAAUUCCUCGACCAUUGGCGACAACACUUUCCUGGCUCUAGAUCCUCUCAGCUAGGUGAUCACGGUGCAUAGACAACACUGCCCCCUCGAAUGUCAUCCUGUUUCGCUUGGGCCAAGCAACUCGUAUGCUAACUUAUGGCAACUGUCGACACCAAAUAAAAACCUCAAACAAAUCAUAUUGAGGAAAUCUAGUUUCGGCAAAUCAAUUAGCAUGGUUCAGGAAACUCGUAUGCAAACUUCUGGUAACUGUCCACACCAAAAAAACUCGAGAAAAAUCGUACUGAGGAAGUAUGGUUUUGACAACUCAAUUAGCAGGGGUAGGAACUCCUACUCAAUCUCAUGGCAUCUCCUAUAAAAAAACUCCCCCACCUCCUCUCUGGUUUACAUGGGGUAGGCAACUCAAUAUCAAUCUUGAAGCAACUUCACAUCAAUCUCGAAGGAACUCACAGAUCUGGCAAAAACCUAAUACAACCACUGAUUAGCGUGAAGACUCGCCCCUCGCUCCUGAAAUUACACACCACAGAUCUAACAACUCCGACCCGGAUCCCAUCUCUAGUCUCUACGCGCAUGAUCCCCUCCUCCCUCCCGGCGCCCAUGAAAAAUCCCCGACCCCCUCCCCAGGAUGCAAUGAGCUAGAGGAACCUCGUUGGAGAAGAAACGGGAACGCAAAAAAUGGCAAGAGGAACGAGUUCUGUACCUUGGGAUUUCUGCAGCGAGUCCCCUCUUUACUCGCCGGAAACGCAACAUCACCGUGACAGAGCGCACCCCACUACGCCCCCGCGCGCACUCCAUCGCAGCAUCUCGCACCUCCGUUAUAGAACCGCC
rnacentral:lncRNA from 1 species